rnacentral:lncRNA from 1 species
UCACCUCAAGAGGCCAAGGAAUUCGAGGACAAGUCUGCAAUUUCCUAGUCCAUAAUAAAAGUAUUAUCCAUCCAACGACCAUAGCUUCAUGUCACUCUCAGUCCGCGAAUUGGGAUCCAAACCUCAUGAGACAUUUCACCUUUUCUCAUUUUAUAGCUUAUUUGCAUAUUUAACUACGAUGAGGGUCGAAGGAAUUGAUUUUCCCAAUCGGGGAGCAACGACGAUUCGAAUCGCUUAGCAAUCCAGCUGGAGUUCCUAACCACCCGACAUAUGUAGAACCAAAUCUUGCAUAUGUCAACACAAAUCUAGCUC